rnacentral:tRNA from 1 species
AAGGGUAUAGCUCAAGUGGUAGAGCGCACGCUUAGCAUGCAUGAGGUCCUGGGUUCAACCCCCAGUACCUCCU